rnacentral:lncRNA from 1 species
AGCCUGUUUCUGCCUAUCACCAUGAGUGAUUCCUUUAUACUCAGAUUUAUCAUCAAGAUCUCAAUUAUAAGCUUAAGUCUUGAUGACAAUUUGAUGAUCUGCAGGAGCACCACCAUGUAAGGAAGGCCAAGACCUCUCUGGAAUCAGUCAAGGCUCAUAGGAACUCCAAUCUUCCCAACUGUGAAAGGGCCUUGCUCCAGUGACUGUCAGUGAAAUGGAGUGAGGCAUACAAGGAUAUGUGUGGUUUUAGUCUUGGGAAGGAGGUUGAACAGUGCAAUAUUUCUUCUAUAGGAUUGCAGUGACCAGACAUGCUAUUGUAACUCUCAUGGUCAUGUGCUGGAAUUAGCAGAUAUUCAACAAUUUGGCCAUCUCGCCGACCUAUUGAUAUCAGAAGACCGCAGCAGCUCUGCAAAGCAAGUUGCAAAACAGAAUCCAUGAAACUGGUAGUGACUGGAAACCAAUUGGAAGACUUUGGUCUGUGAUGUAGAGGAAUGGGCAGAGGCAGAAGCAAAGACAACAAACAACAAAAGUGAUAUGGAUGUCUUCGUCAUAUGGCAUGACUCUGCUGACCCAGCAACAAAGAGGAGGGUGUUCAACAUCAUCCUGCUAGUCAGGAUUCUUCAGGAGAAGCAGAGGAUUCUUGUGGCAGAGAUGGCCAACCACUAUAAAUACCUUUCAACUCAUCCUGGUUCUUUCAAAGAACUUUCCUGCUUAUUUGCUUCUGAAAUAUUCGACAUGUGGCCUAAACAAAGAGGGGUUAAAAGGUCUAUGGAUCAUCAUUCUCAGAAAGCAACAAAAUAACUGAGAAAUAAACAACAAUACGAUGGUGCA